rnacentral:misc_RNA from 1 species
GCAGGAUUUUGUUGAUUCUAUUUGUAUUAAUAUCUAUUUUAUAGAUCGAAAGACUCAGAUGACCCGUGUUCUCCUGGUUUUUAGUGUCGCGCAAUUUUAUAAGCAAUUUUCUAGGGCUAGGAUUUUUCGUAUGUAUUUUCGAUAUGAUUUCCCAAACUUGACCCACAAAAAACAACACACUGUACAUACUAACGAUUGCGUAGCACAGGACGACGAGGACCAGAAAUCGGACAGAUAUGACCAGUUAUAACUUCCACUAUGUUCGUGUCUUUGGUUCUUACAGAGUACUCAUAAACCUAUGUAGAUACAACUGUUUCCUAAUAGCCUUUAAGUGUAUCGUACUAUGCUAGUCGAAACCGACAAAUGAUGAUCAUGGAAACGAGUUUAGAUGGGGAAGAGUUAGUUUUUUUGGGGAAUGUUUGAGAAACUCACACAGCAUUUAUUAUGCGGCGCACAAAACAAAAAGUAAUGAAAUUAAAUACAAAAAAAUAGUAAAAAUCCAAGGGAGUACGCUGAUGGAAGGGAGAUGAUUAAUCGACCACUCCCAGAGUAGAUCAAAAAACCCGUCGUUGAAACCAAGAUCUAAGGCUCGGGGAUCAAAGCAAUGCAAAAUGCCCGGCCUGGCAAAAAGGAGGGAGCAGGGAUCAGGGACUCGGAAAAUACAACACAGCAGAGUGUGAAUCAGUCGAAAUGAUAUUUUUGUUGAAACUCUUCUUCCUCUUUAAGAACUGUAAAUAAAACAAAUAGAAGCUGUAUGAUAUUAACAAUUUUA